rnacentral:tRNA from 1 species
GCCGGGGUGGCGGAACUGGCAGACGCGCUGGCCUUAGGAGCCAGUGCCGCAAGGCGUGCAGGUUCGAGUCCUGUCCCCGGCACCA